rnacentral:rRNA from 1 species
GAUGAACGCUGGCGGCGUGCUUAACACAUGCAAGUCGAACGAUGAAGCCCAGCUUGCUGGGUGGAUUAGUGGCGAACGGGUGAGUAACACGUGAGUAACCUGCCCUUAACUCUGGGAUAAGCCUGGGAAACUGGGUCUAAUACCGGAUAGGAGCGUCCACCGCAUGGUGGGUGUUGGAAAGAUUUAUCGGUUUUGGAUGGACUCACGGCCUAUCAGCUUGUUGGUGAGGUAAUGGCUCACCAAGGCGACGACGGGUAGCCGGCCUGAGAGGGUGACCGGCCACACUGGGACUGAGACACGGCCCAGACUCCUACGGGAGGCAGCAGUGGGGAAUAUUGCACAAUGGGCGAAAGCCUGAUGCAGCGACGCCGCGUGAGGGAUGACGGCCUUCGGGUUGUAAACCUCUUUCAGUAGGGAAGAAGCGAAAGUGACGGUACCUGCAGAAGAAGCACCGGCUAACUACGUG